UAAUUUCACCGCACCUCCGCUUCCAAGUUAGCGAGCACUUGCUUCCUUCGCUGGUUAUCUCCUGUCUCGAGCUAAGUUUGCUAAUUCGGACCAAACCCUAGAGGGCCUAAUCCUCAAUCGCCAAAUUGUUCCAACUGCUCUGCAAUUCACCACUCUCACUCUAAACCCAUUCCCGAUUUUCGCUCCCUCACCAAAUUAAUAAGCUUCUUUUUAUUUUCUCUGCCAAUUUUGAAUCCUCACCGUAGCCAUGGACGCUCAGAGAGCUCUGCUAGACGAACUCAUGGGUGCAGCUCGUGAUCUGACUGAGGAAGAGAGAAAGGGGUACAGGGAAGUUACGUGGGAUGAUAAGGAGGUUUGUGGUGCCUACAUGGUUCGUUUUUGUCCGCACGAUCUUUUUGUCAAUACGCGGAGUGAUUUAGGACCAUGCCCUAGGAUUCAUGAUCAGAAGUUGAAAGAAAGUUUUGAGAAGUCCCCUAGGCAUGAUGCCUAUGUGCCCAAAUUUGAAGCUGACCUAGCUCAGUUCUGUGAGAAAUUGGUGAUGGACUUGGACAGAAGGGUGAGGCGUGGUCGGGAACGCCUUGCUCAAGAAGUAGAACCGGCACCAGCAACUCCCUUGACAGCUGAAAAGUCUGAACAAUUAUCGGUGCUGGAGGAAAAGAUAAAGAACUUGCUGGAACAAGUGGAAACUCUUGGUGAAGCUGGAAAAGUGGAUGAAGCUGAAGCACUCAUGAGAAAGGUGGAUGUUCUUAAUGCUGAGAAGACAGCUUUGACUCAACUGCCCCAGAAUGAUAAAGUGUUGAUGCUGGCACAGGAGAAGAAGAUGGCCCUCUGUGAGAUCUGUGGUUCCUUUCUUGUAGCCAAUGAUGCUGUAGAGAGGACACAAUCUCAUGUUACAGGAAAGCAGCAUAUUGGUUAUGGCAUGGUUCGGGAUUUCAUCAGUGAGUUCAAGGCGGCCAAGGAGAAAGCAAGAGAGGAAGAAAGAUUAGCUAGGGAAAAAGAAGCAGAAGAGCGGAGGAAGCGGAGGGAGAAGGAAUAUGAGAGUAGGAGAAGGGGUGAUUCGGGUGAAAGGGACAGGCAUCAUGACAGAGAUCGAGAUAGGGAACGGGACAGAUAUCGAGAACGAGAUUAUGAUCGUGAAAGAUCUAGAGAGUGGAAUGGUAGAGGUAGUCGGGAUGGAGGAAGAGGCGGGGAUUGGAAGUCUAGGAAUGGAAGAGAAGGAGGCAGGGAUAGGAACCGUGACAGGAGCAGGUCACGCUCCCCUGUUAGGCAUGGUCGCAGGAGGUCAUCUAGAAGUCCAGUUCGCCCGUAUUAGUGAAAUUUGUAGAUAGUUGUCUGAGCUUUGAAAUUUAAUGAGGUAGAUCUUUUACAUCUCAAAAGUUUUAUGAACAUGUGCUUUUGGAGCCUUGAGUUAACUUGUCAUCAUGGGUGAAACUUUUUUGUCCUUAUCACAGCUUUGUUGAGACUAUAUCAUCUCCCUUUCAUCAAUAUUGUUAAUGGAGAAAAGGGUUGGAGAGUCUCGUAUCCCUUAUUUGGGGAAUCGUUUGGCUCUUUGUUUUUUGUCCUCACAUAUUUUACAAAUCAGACUUCAAAUUAUAUGAAUACCCGAGACAGAUGCUGGAGAGAUAUUGAUUUUUUCAUUUAAUGAGGUAACAUGCAAAUCUCAUUUAUCCUGUCGUAACCUCCUUGAUCAUUUUUUCUUACCAUGGAUUAUAACCUCAUCUAUGCUCAAAAAAUAAUAUUAACAAUAAUAACGGAAGAUACGGUUUUCAGUAUAAACCAUUCUGUACAGUGCCUGGUUAUUUGGCAAAUGUUUAGCCCUGGAGGAACCAGGAGAUGCCGAUUAGAGAAUUUGGAUGGUCAAUGGAUGUUCUCCACGAAAGCUUAUAAGUAGUUGGUAUAGAAUUUCAUACUUGUUUUAAUGUUUUGUGAUUUAAGCAGUAAUAGGAAGGCCAAUGAACAUGAGAACUGGGAUGAUAGACCAGUGGAAUCAUGUCAUUCGAAAGUAAGGUAAAUUCUUAAGUAGCAAUUUCAAAAUCAGGAUGGCUCAGGAAGUUAUUGGUAAUUAUUUGGUCUUUGUCGUAUUGGAAUGACUUUCUGGCAGAAAUUACGUCGGAUUCUGCAUGGAAUUUUCUGGAAUUUGAGGUCAUUCCUUAUUGCAUGUGUUAGAUAUGCAGUUGUGGGUGACAGGAAGUAACUGAAGGUUAGAAUCUGCUAAGUAGAAGAGUACUUCUCUUAAUUUUGAAUGGCAGGUAACUUUGCAAAAACUUGAUGGUCCGUCUUUAUGAGUAGUUGACAAACGAGAGUCUCUCAAUAAGGGCUUGUUUGUGCAGGGGAACUAAUUUUUACCUUUCCACUUUGCUGAACCAUAUGGAAAAUGAGAAACCAAAUGCAAUUGAAAUUGACUGGAGACAAUUUUGUAUUCAUUGCAGAAAACUUUGUAUGAUUGACAAUUAUAAUAUUAUUGUCGGCCUUGCCUUUUUAUGUUUUCAA